UGGACUACCAUGGCGAUUACGGGUAACGGAGAAUUAGUGUUCGAUUCCGGAGAGGGAGCCUGAGAAACGGCUACCACAUCUAAGGAAGGCAGCAGGAGCGUAAAUUACCCAAUGUCGACUCGAUGAGCGUAGUGACAAUACAUAACAAAGAGGGGAUUUUUUAUCUUACUCUAUUGCAAUGAGGCAUGUUUAAUAACCUGUUCGAGCAACCAGUGAAGGGCAAGUCUGGUGCCAGCAGCCGCGGUAAUUCCAGCUUCACGAGUGUAUAUUUAAGUUGUUGCAGUUAAAAAGCUCGUAGUUGAACUUCUGUUCGUUCAGUAGGCGGUCAAACGUCGAUUGGAUGAACAUCCGCCUGAAAAAUCAUUAGGGCCUUCACUGGUUCAGUGAUGGAUCAGGCAUUUUACUUUGAAAAAAUUAGAGUGUUCAAAGCAGGCUAUCGCCUGAAUACAUUAGCAUGGAAUAAUAGAAUAGGACGCUGUUCAAUUUGUUGGUUAUUGAAUUGCGUAAUGAUUAAUAGGGACAGUUGGGGGCAUUUGUAUUUAAUUGUCAGAGGUGAAAUUCUUGGAUUUAUUAAAGACAAACUUAUGCGAAAGCAUUUGCCAAGGAUGUUUUCAUUAAUCAAGAACGAAAGUUAGAGGAUCAAAGACGAUCAGAUACCGUCCUAGUUUUAACUAUAAACUAUGCCGACUCGGUCUCCGUCGAGUAAUUUUACCUCGAUGGGUGCCGUAUGAGAAAUCAAAGUCUUUGGGUUCCGGGGGGAGUAUGGUCGCAAGGUUGAAACUUAAAGGAAUAGACGGAACAUCACUACCAGGUGUGGAUCCUGCGGCUUAAUUUGACCCAACACGGGGAAACUUACCAGCGCAAAACAAGGGUGGGAUUGACAGAUUGAGAGCUCUUUCUUGAUUCUUUGGAUAGUGGUGCAUGCCGUUCUUAGUUGGUGGAGUGAUUUGUCUGCUUAAUUGCGUUAACGAACGAGACCUCAACCUACUUACUAGACGUGCGAUUUCCCAUCGUGCGCUCUUCUUAGAGGGACUGUGCGGAGACAAACGCAAGGAAGUUUGAGGCAAUAACAGGUCUGUGAUGCCCUUAGAUGUGCUGGGCCGCACGCGGGAUACAAUGACCCGUUCAGAAAGUAUAACCUGACCCGGAAGGGAGUGGGUAAUCUUUUUAAUGCGGGUCGUGCUAGGGAUCGAUCUUUGCAAUUAUAGAUCUUGAACGAGGAAUACCUAGUAAGUGCAAGUCAUCAGCUUGUACUGAUUACGUCCCUGGUGUUUGUACUCACCGCCCGUCGCUCCUACCAAUUUCGAAUGAUCCGGUGAACCUUUUGGAUUGGGUGCAAGCCUGAGAAGUUAAGUAAACCUUAUCAUUUAGAGGAAGGAGAAGUCGUAACAAGGUU
rnacentral:rRNA from 1 species